rnacentral:rRNA from 1 species
GACGAACGCUGGCGGCGUGCUUAACACAUGCAAGUCGAACGGAAAGGCCCUGCUUUUGUGGGGUGCUCGAGUGGCGAACGGGUGAGUAACACGUGAGUAACCUGCCCUUGACUUUGGGAUAACUUCAGGAAACUGGGGCUAAUACCGGAUAGGAGCUCCUGCUGCAUGGUGGGGGUUGGAAAGUUUCGGCGGUUGGGGAUGGACUCGCGGCUUAUCAGCUUGUUGGUGGGGUAGUGGCUUACGAAGGCGUUGACGGGUAGCCGGCCUGGGAGGGUGACCGGCCACAUUGGGACUGGGAUACGGGCCAGACUCCUACGGGAGGCAGCGGUGGGGAAUAUUGCGCAAUGGGCGGAAGCCUGAUGCAGCAACGCCGCGUGCGAGAUGACGGCCUUCGGGUUGUAAACCGCUUUCGCCUGUGACGAAGCGUGAGUGACGGUAAUGGGUAAAGAAGCACCGGCUAACUACGUG